UACGUAGGGGGCGAGCGUUGUCCGGAGUUACUGGGCGUAAAGGGCACGCAGGCGGUGCGGCGCGUUUCGCGUGACAGCGGAGGGCUUAACUCUCCGAGGAUGCGAAAGACGGCAGCACUUGAGGGCCAGAGAGGGACACGGAAUUCCGGGUGGAGUGGUGAAAUGCGUAGAGAUCCGGAGGAACACCGAAGGCGAAGGCAGUGUCCUGGCUGGUUACUGACGCUGAGGUGCGAAAGCUAGGGGAGCGAACGGG
rnacentral:rRNA from 1 species